AUUUGAUAAAAUACACAUAUACUAAAAUUGGAAUGAUGCAGAGAAGAUUAGCAUGGCCCUGUGCAAGGAUGACAUGCAAAUUUGUGAAAUACAAUAUAUAAUA